AGCCUUUUUUCGUAACAGACAUGCUCCAGUCCCUCAGUCAUCAUUGUUGCCCUCUGCUGGAUCCACUCCAGGAGCUCCAUGUCUGUCUUGUACUGAGGAGCCCAGAAAUACAUCUUCUGAGGUGGAG